rnacentral:rRNA from 1 species
AAUUUUGGACAAGGGGGGAAACCCUGAUCCAGCCAUCCCGCGUGUGCGAUGAAGGCCUUAGGGUUGUAAAGCUCUUUUGGCAGGGAAGAAAAGGCUCUGGUUAAUACCUGGAGCUGCGGCCGGUACCAUCACAAUAAGCACGGGCGAACUAGGUGCCAGCAGCGACGGUAAUAUGUUGGGUGCAAGCGUUAACCGUAAUUCCUGGGCGUAAAGGGUUCGCAGGCGGUUUAGCAAGAAGGAUGUAAAAUCCCGGGGCUUAACCUCGGAACUGCAUUCUUAACUGCCAGGCUAGAGUAUGUCAGAGGGGGGUAGAAUUCCGCGUGUAGCAGUGAAAUGCGUAGAGAUGCGGAGGAAUACCGAUGGCGAAGGCAGCCCCCUGGGAUAAUACUGACGCUCAGGCACGAAAGCGUGGGGAGCAAACA